rnacentral:rRNA from 1 species
CACGUAGGAGGCAACCGUUAUCCGGAUUUACUGGGCGUAAAGCGCGUGUAGGUGGUUCUGUAAGUAGGGCGUGAAAGCUCCCGGCUCAACUGGGAGAGGCCGUUCUAAACUGCAGAGCUAGAGGAUGGUAGAGGGAGGUGGAAUUCCAGGUGUAGCGGUGGAAUGCGCAGAUAUCUGGAGGAACACCAGUGGCGAAGGCGGCCUCCUGGACCAUUCCUGACACUCAGACGCGAAAGCUAGGGUAGCAAACGGGAUUAGAUACCCGCGUAGU